rnacentral:rRNA from 1 species
AUUGAACGCUGGCGGCAGGCCUAACACAUGCAAGUCGAGCGGAUGAAGGGAGCUUGCUCCUGGAUUCAGCGGCGGACGGGUGAGUAAUGCCUAGGAAUCUGCCUGGUAGUGGGGGAUAACGUCCGGAAACGGGCGCUAAUACCGCAUACGUCCUGAGGGAGAAAGUGGGGGAUCUUCGGACCUCACGCUAUCAGAUGAGCCUAGGUCGGAUUAGCUAGUUGGUGGGGUAAAGGCCUACCAAGGCGACGAUCCGUAACUGGUCUGAGAGGAUGAUCAGUCACACUGGAACUGAGACACGGUCCAGCCUCCUACGGGAGGCAGCAGUGGGGAAUAUUGGACGAUGGGCGAAAGCCUGAUCCAGCCAUGCCGCGUGUGUGAAGAAGGUCUUCGGAUUGUAAAGCACUUUAAGUUGGGAGGAAGGGCAGUAAGUUAAUACCUUGCUGUUUUGACGUUACCAACAGAAUAAGCACCGGCUAACUUCGUG